UUAUUUAAUAAAACAUAAUAUGAACAUAACUUUACUUGGUCCUAUGACAGACUAGCAUGAUGCCAAAUGUUUUUAAGGUGGAGCAAGAGAUUUGGAUUGCAACAAAGAACAGUACUUCUAUUGUAAAUAUGGAAUAUAGCAACAUGUCUGGGUCGAGGCACAAAACACUGAAGCACUUUUUUACUUGUCUGUCAUCUUGCCCUGACACACUUCAGAACCAACAUUAUUGUUGCUUCUGUCUCUCAUUAGGAACUCUCAUUAAAUGGUACGAACAUAAAAGGCUAAUAUUGCAACAAGAAUCUUAUCUUACAGUUUAUGAAUCAACUAACAUUGUCUUUUACGUUUAAAGAAACUUAACACAAUUGCGUAAGACUUUAUCUGAAAGGAAGUGCAAAAGACUGAAAUGACACUGUCAUAACUAUGACGUGAAGCAUGUCAUAAACAUAAAGGAGUCUUUAAAAAUGUUUUUCAUGAUUCUUGUCAUUAAGUGUCAUUGAGUAAAUUAUGACACUUUUAAUGCAAACUUAGCAUUGUUUGAGAUGUUUUUGUUUUUUUGACAACUUGACAUGAACCAAGACAACAGUGUCUGUGUUAUGACUGACAUUGUCCUAGACAACAUAACCUGUCAUACAUAUGUCAUAGCAGGCCUUAUUAUCAAACUUUAAGUGUCUAUUUAAAAUUGUCAAAGGGAUUGGUUAUUACAUUGAUUGUCAUGGUACCAUUGUAAUUGUGUCAUGAAUAUUUUUCCUUGACCUCAAGUGAAGUGAAAUAAUUUGGACUUGUCAUAAA